GCCCGGCUAGCUCAAUUGGUAGAGCGUGAGACUCUUAAUCUCAAGGCUGCGGGUUCGAUCCCCGCGUUGGGCU